AAUCAACGCUGGCGGCGUGCCUCAGACAUGCAAGUCGAACGAUUAAAGCUCUCUUCGGAGAGUGCAUAGAGUGGCGCACGGGUGAGUAACACGUAAGUAAUCUACCUUCGAGUGGGGAAUAACAGUCGGAAACGACUGCUAAUACCGCAUAAUGCAGCGGCAUCGCAAGAUGACAGUUGUUAAGGAGCAAUCCGCUUGAAGAGGAGCUUGCGGCAGAUUAGCUAGUUGGUAAGGUAAUGGCUUACCAAGGCAACGAUCUGUAACCGGCCUGAGAGGGUGGUCGGUCACACUGACACUGAAUAACGGGUCAGACUCCUACGGAAGGCAGCAGUCGGGAAUUUUGGGCAAUGGCGCAAGCCUGACCCAGCAACGCCGCGUGAAGGAUGAAGUCUUUCGGGAUGUAAACUUCGUAAGAAUAGGAAGAAU
rnacentral:rRNA from 1 species